UCCCCUACGGGGGGCAGCAGUAGGGAAUAUUAGUAAUGGGCGAAAGCCUGAACUAGCAACGCCGCGUGUGCGAAGAAGGCCUUCGGGUUGUAAAGCACUUUUUGAGAGGAUGAGGAAGGACGGUACUCUCAGAAUAAGUCUCGGCUAACUACGUGCCAGCAGCCGCGGUAACACAUAGGAGGCGAACGUUAUCCGGAUUUACUGGGCGUAAAGCGCGUGUAGGUGGUUUGGUAAGUAGGGCGUGAAAGCUCCUGGCUCAACUGGGAGAGGCCGUUCUAAACUGCCGAACUAGAGGAUGGUAGAGGGAGGUGGAAUUCCGGGUGUAGCGGUGGAAUGCGCAGAUAUCCGGAGGAACACCAGUGGCGAAAGCGGCCUCCUGGACCAUUCCAGACACUCAGACGCGACAGCUAGGGUAGCAAACGGGAUUAGAUACCCGAGUAGUCAU
rnacentral:rRNA from 1 species